rnacentral:lncRNA from 1 species
AACGAAAAAAUAAACGAAAAAAUAAACUAUUUACAUACCGACAUGAAUGAUAAUGACGUACACUCUUAUAUAAAUAUAGACGAUUGUAAUGAUCAUAUGUCCACAUUAACAAAAUAUAAUAUACAAAAACCAAUAAAUAUAUUAGAUAAAUGUCAAAAAAAUAUAUCACAUGAAAAAACGAAUAAAAAAAAAAAUGUCAAAUUACAGGAAGAAAUAGAAGAGAUUAAAUAUAAUAAUGAUGAAUGUUUUGUUUAUUCAAAAGAAAAGGAAUCAGGAAAUAAAAAAAAAAUUUACUUUGAUCAUUCUUCUUCUGGUGACUACCAGUUAGAAAAUCAAACUAGUAAUUUAUCCAAAUAUGAAAAAAAAAAAAAAUUGUGUUUAAUAAAUGAAAAAGAAUCAUCUGAAUUUAAUGAUGAUUCAGAAACAUUAACAAAUAAACAUUUUCAAACAAUAUCAAAUUUGAAUGAUAAUAACGAAUUAAAAAUAAAUGUAAAAUGUGAUAACUUUUUGUCACCCAGAGAUAAUACAGUAGAAGUUGACACGGAUGUUGGAGAAAGUAUACAAAUUGAGAAAGGUGUACAAAUUGAAGAACAUGUAAGUAAUAAGAAUAAAAUGGGUAAAGAAAAAAAAAGAUUUUUGGUACCAAUUGACUAUGACCCCUACAAUAUAUAUUCAAACGAAGAGAACGAUAAUAAUUCAGAAAUACCAAGCGAGAAUAAUAAUGAUGAUAACAACAAUAACAACUACAACUAUAGCGACAAUUAUAAUAAUGAAAAAUAUUUAUUUUUAAAUAAAUUUCAAGAAAGAAAUAAUAUUAGAAAUGGUUGUAAAAUGUUUCAAAAUUUACGGAAUUUCUUAUCUUCAUUUACUUUUUAUUUCUUUUUUUUUAUUUUUAUAUAUGCAUUUUUAUUAUCAGUUAUGCAUAUAUUUAUUAACUAUUUUUUUUACAUAUAUUUGUUUGUAUUUAAUAUAAAUAUCUAUGUUUCAAACAUUUAUACAAUAAUUAUGACAUUUGUUUCUCUUUUAGCAAUACCAUUUUCUGGUUAUAUACUUGAUAAUAUAAACAACUUCUUGUCUCUUCUUGUGUGCUCUUCCCUUUUUAUUCUGACAGCAAUAUCAGGGUCCAUAUAUUGUUAUAUAAACAACAUAAGUUCGGAGUUAUUGGCUUUUAUAUUUUUCAACUUAAUAGGUAUAAGUGAAUCUGUUAUUCCAACAGUUAUUAUUUCCCAGAUACCAACUCAUUUAUGGUAUGGAAAAAAAAAUAAAACAGCCAAGUACACAAGUGUUUUUAUAUGCCACUUGAAAUUGACGAAUAUGUGUAUAUAUAGAUGCAUACAUACGUACACACAUACAUACCUGCAUACGUGUGUUAGUUUUAAUAAUUGAGUAUUAUCAAUAUGUUCGUUUCAACAACCAAAAUUAACUUUUAAUUUUAUAUCGUUAUUUUUAUUUUACUUUUUUUUAUGCAGCGUAAAAAGUAAUGAACAUAUUAUUGCUGCUUUCGCAAUAUUUGAGCUGGUUUCAAUGAUAAUCAUAAGUUUAAAUAAUUAUGCUUUUGGUUAUUUCUUAAUUAAAAAAGGUUACUUUAAUAUUUAUUUUUAAAAUUUAACUUAUAAAUAUAACAAUAUUGUUAUAACUUUUAUUUCAUAUUUUAUUAUAUUAUAUUUUAUUUCAUAUUUUAUUAUAUUUUAUUUUAUUAUAUUAUAUUAUAUUAUAUUAUAUUUUAUUAUAUUUUAUUUUAUUAUAUUAUAUUAUAUUAUAUUAUAUUUUAUUUUAUUUAUUUUUUUUUUUAACAGAGUACUUGAAGGGUCUAUACAUAUUACUUUUUUUGGUUAUACUUGUUAUUAUCCUUAUAAUUUUGUUAAUGGUGACAAUUUAUUUAAAAAAAAAAACAAAAAACUAUUCGUAUAAUAGUACAAAUAAUUUGUACUUAACACGCCCACUUCUUUAAAAUUAGCUUAUAUUUAUAUUUGUGUAUGGCGUUACUUUUUUUUUUUUAUUUUAUUUACUUUUUUUUACUUUAUAUUACUGCCCAUUUAAUGUUUUUAUGGUGUAUUUAACAUAGUUAUAAACUUAUAUUUUUUUAUUUGUGUUCCCCAUUUGACAUGUACACAUAUAUAUGUACAUAUAUGUGUGUAUAUAUAUUCAUGUAUGCUAUAAUGUAAUUCUAUUUAUAUUUACAUUUUUUUUUUUUUGUUAAUAUAAUAGUUAUGUAUGGAAACUUUUACUUAUUAAUAAAACAAAAUUUUAUGCGAGUUAUUAGUCUUGU